CAGCUUGUUGGUGAGGUAACGGCUCACCAAGGCGACGAUCCGUAGCUGGUCUGAGAGGACGAUCAGCCACACUGGGACUGAGACACGGCCCAGACUCCUACGGGAGGCAGCAGUGGGGAAUCUUGCGCAAUGGGCGAAAGCCUGACGCAGCGACGCCGCGUGCGGGAAGAAGGCCUUCGGGUUGUAAACCGCUUUCAGGAGGGACGAAGCCACUCGGGUUAAUAGCCCAGAGGGUGACGGUACCUCCAGAAGAAGCCCCGGCUAACUACGUGCCAGCAGCCGCGGUAAUACGUAGGGGGCAAGCGUUGUCCGGAUUUAUUGGGUGUAAAGAGCGUGUAGGCGGCCAGGUAGGUCUGCUGUGAAAACUCGAGGCUCAACCUCGAGACGUCGGCAGAAACCCUCUGGCUAGAGUCCGGAAGAGGAGAGUGGAAU
rnacentral:rRNA from 1 species